UUAUUUCGGGACUGACGGUGCCCCGGUUACCAUCCUGCUGAGUGGACAAGUCUGCCGUUCCAGGAAAGCUCAACAGCAAGGGAAGGCCAAUUGCUCAACAUGUGCUACCUUAGAGGGAGGUUGGCUGGGGACAGCUCCUGCCUUUUUCACCAGCUGGUGGUUUUGGGCAGCCCAGAUUCUCAGGAGGGAAACAGCAGAGACCAUACAGGGACACUCUGAAGGAACACCUGGGGCAGGUGCACUGUUCACAGGCGUGGAGGGAAGGUGACUCCCAAGGUGAUCCUGGCCCACAGCAGCUGCCAGUGCUCCAUCAGGAUUUCUGCACUGCAGGCAGAUGGAUGUGGCUUCAGCAAAAUAAAAAAAAAGCCAGUAGAAA